rnacentral:rRNA from 1 species
UACGUAGGGGGCAAGCGUUGUCCGGAAUCAUUGGGCGUAAAGAGCGUGUAGGCGGCCCGAUAAGUCCGCUGUGAAAGUCCAGGGCUCAACCCUGGGAUGCCGGUGGAUACUGUCGGGCUCGAAUCCGGAAGAGGUGAGUGGAAUUCCGUGGUGUAGCGGUGAAAUGCGCAGAUAUCAGGAGGAACACCAAUGGCGAAGGCAGCUCACUGGGACGGUACUGACGCUGAGGCGCGAAAGCGUGGGGAGCGAACAGG